rnacentral:lncRNA from 1 species
AGAAUUAUGACAUUUAAAAUUGUUGUCCUCUUUAUGAUAGACUUUUCUAACAUAUUCUUCUAAUGAUACAUUAUCAAAUAGGAAGAUUGUGAGGAUGAGACUACUUAGGUACAUUUACAAGCCAUUAAAGACAAUCUAUGGUUUUGUAGUACUAAGUCCGGAAACUAAACUUUCGGCUUUUAUUUGUCAAGUGUUGGAU